rnacentral:rRNA from 1 species
GGAGGGGGCUAGCGUUGUUCGGAAUUAUUGGGCGUAAAGGGCGCGUAGGCGGCCUGGUAAGUCAGACGUGAAAUCCCUCGGCUCAACCAAGGAACUGCGUUUGAAACUGCCGGGCUUGAGUCCCGGAGAGGGCAGCGGAAUUCCCAGUGUAGCGGUGAAAUGCGUAGAUACUGGGAGGAACACCGGUGGCGAAGGCGGCUGCCUGGACGGGUACUGACGCUGAAGCGCGAAAGCGUGGGGAGCAAACAGGAUUAGAUACCCUGGUAGUCCACGCUGUAAACGAUGGGCACUUGGUGUUGCGGGUAUCGACCCCUGCAGUGCCGAAGCUAACGCAUUAAGUGCCCCGCCUGGGGAGUACGGUCGCAAGGCUG